UCAUCAGGUAGGAUAAUCCUUCCCUGUUCCUCUAGUCAGAGAGCAGAGAGAACAUAAUGAUUGGAGUUUUCGUGAUUCGUGAUUAAUGUCUCUGCGUGAUUAGGGCUCAAUACUCUAAUGGCUUCUACCUGAU
ensembl:snoRNA U8 U8 small nucleolar RNA